CAAUAGCGUAUAUUAAAGUUGUUGCGGUUAAAAGCUCGUAGUUGGAUUUCUGCCGAGGACGACCGGUCCGCCCUCUGGGUGAGUAUCUGGCUUGGCCUGGGCAUCUUCUUGGAGAACGUAGCUGCACUUGACUGUGUGGUGCGGUAUCCAGGACUUUUACUUUGAGGAAAUUAGAGUGUUUCAAGCAGGCAUACGCCUUGAAUACAUUAGCAUGGAAUAAUAAGAUAGGACCUCGGUUCUAUUUUGUUGGUUCUAGAGCUGAGGUAAUGAUUAAUAGGGAUAGUUGGGGGCAUUCGUAUUUAACUGUCAGAGGUGGAAUUCUUGGAUUGUGAUUACGACAACUACUGCGAAAGCAUUUGCCAAGGAUGUUUUCAUUGAUCAAGAACGAAAGUAAGGGGAUCGAAGACGAUUAGAU
rnacentral:rRNA from 1 species